UACAGGGGGCGCGAGCGUUGCUCGGAAUCACUGGGCGUAAAGCGUACGCAGGCGGGUCGAUAAGUUCGUUGUGAAAUCCCGGGGCUCAACCCCGGAACUGCGAUGAAGACUGUCGAUCUUGAGUACGGGAGAGGGGAGCGGAAUUCCUGGUGUAGAGGUGAAAUUCGUAGAUAUUCGCAAGAACACCAGUGGCGAAGGCGGCUCACUGGCCCGGUACUGACGCUGAGGUGCGAAAGUGUGGGGAGCAAACAGG
rnacentral:rRNA from 1 species